rnacentral:rRNA from 1 species
AAUAGAUACCCCGGUAGUCCAUGCUGUAAACGAUGAGAACUAGAUGUUAGGGGGCAUGACCUCUUAGUAUCGAAGCUAACGCGAUAAGUUCUCCGCCUGGGGAGUACGGCCGCAAGGUUAAAACUCAAAGAAAUUGACGGGGGCCCGCACAAGCGGUGGAGCAUGUGGUUUAAUUCGAUGCAACGCGAAGAACCUUACCUACCUUUGAAUCCACGGAACCUAGCAGAGAUGUUGGGGUGCCUUCGGGAACCGUGAGACAGGUGCUGCAUGGCUGUCGUCAGCUCGUGUCGUGAGAUGUUGGGUUAAGUCCCGUAACGAGCGCAACCCUUGUCCUUAGUUGCCAUCAGGUUAUGCUGGGCACUUUAAGGAGACUGCCGGUGAUAAACCGGAGGAAGGUGGGGAUGACGUCAAGUCCUCAUGGCCCUUACAGGUAGGGCUACACACGUGCUACAAUGGGCAGUACAGAGGGAAAGCCAACCCGCGAGGGGGAGCGAAUCUCAUAAAGCUGUUCGUAGUCCGGAUUGGAGUCUGCAACUCGACU